rnacentral:rRNA from 1 species
UAUUGCCAGUUACCAUCAUUAAGUUGGGGACUCUGGCGAGACUGCCUGCGAUGAGCAGGAGGAAGGUGGGGAUGACGUCAAGUCAUCAUGCCCCUUAUGACCUGGGCUACACACGUGCUACAAUGGGUAUUACAGAGGGAAGCGAAGUGGUGACAUGGAGCAAAACUCAGAAAGGUACUCUUAGUUCGGAUUGUAGUCUGCAACUCGACUACAUGAAGCUGGAAUUGCUAGUAAUCGCAAAUCAGAAUGUUGCGGUGAAUACGUUC